AGCAGCCGCGGUAAUUCCAGCUCCAAUAGCGUAUAUUAAAGUUGUUGCAGUUAAAAAGCUCGUAGUUGAAUUUCGGGGUCAGUAGGUUGGUCGUGCCACUGGUACGUACUGGUCUCACUGAUUCCUCCUUCCUGAAGAACCGUAAUGCCAUUAAUUUGGUGUUGCGGGGAAACAGGACUGUUACUUUGAAAAAAUUAGAGUGUUUAAAGCAAGCUAACGCUUGAAUACAUUAGCAUGGAAUAAUGAAAUAGGACGAUCGAUCCUAUUUUGUUGGUUUU
rnacentral:rRNA from 1 species